AAACGAGGAAGUGAAGUCAAGUCCGCCAUUUCAUCUUCUUCUUUUUAUCGGAAAAGAAAGGAAUCAUGCAAGGAUGCAAGCUGAAGGAAAGGACAACUCUCACAUCAGUGCAUUACUUAUUGUUUGACUUCAUCAUCAAGCACACCAGCUCAGAUUGUGAUGGACCUGGAAUGCGACACCAGUUACUCUUAAAGCCUGAUUUAUACUUCUGCGUCAGGGGACCGGCGUAACCAACGGCGCAUGCAACGCGCGUGGCUGUGCAUUUAUACUUCUGCGCGCUGUCUCUGUUGGUC
ensembl:processed_transcript